AUCAGUUGCUGCAUUCCCCAGGCGUUUCCACCCUAGCUGCUGGAGUCUGUUGGUCCCAGAGAAGAAGCAGCUCAGACUGGUCAUGGAAAUGGAAUCAGAACAAAGGCAGUAUUGUAUGGUACCGAAGGGAAAUAUUUCCUGGAAAAAAAAAUCGAAAAAAACAAGAAUGUAACUGAAAAUGAGAAAGUGUAGUGCAGACUGAAAAAAAAUUCCAAUUGUGAAAUAUUUAUUAAAAGCUAAAUACCUCAAACAAGCUCUGUUCUUACAAGAAUCAUUUAAGGUUAUUAAAGAUAAAGUGUUUGAGAUCCAUGAACUACAGUGCCCCAUCCCCUGGUGUCUGUGCUCUUCAUGAACUACUAACUGACCAGAGGCAAGGCAACUGCUCUGAAUAAAAAAGGUUCAAUCUAUUGUCACCCUGGUUGUUUACAUGACUUGGUGAUUACUUCAUGGACCAUGGGCAAAUUAUCACUGGCCACACCACGAAAGAGAAUGAAACCUUCCCAUCACCCAUCGGGAGCUUCAUGAAACUCUCUCUCCUCAAUAUGAUGAAAUCAUGAGAGAGAAAUCUCAUGUGGGUCUUAUGGAGGGCAUCUGAACAUCUGAGCUGUAUGGACAUAUUCUUCACCUGUUACUGGGGUUCAACCUAAUAAUUUAUUUCUUCUGCAAGAAGCAUUAUCCAGAACACUAAGUUCAAUGUGUGUCAACCAGACUGAACUAAGGACUGUUAUGCAUUUUAAAUCUUCUCUUUCUUUGCUAACUUCUUGUCCACUCUGUUACUGAGGACAGAUUUACCUCAGUAUCCUACCAUAGCAAGGAUGUCUGAGUCACUGGGGAUAGUGCACAUCCAAAGAAGAUCCUGAUUGCUAAUUUUCAGCAUUACCUUGAAUGAGAACCAUGUAGACUAGACCAAUUCAAUUUCAUGUCCAACACAAAAUGAAUAGAAACUUCUAGCGCUGAAGUAUUCCUGAGCUGACUGCUGUAUUCAGGUGCCUUGUCCUGGCUCUUAGAUAUCUCAGUGUCUUAGAAACUCUAGACAACACGGUCACAAAAAUAUUGAAGAAUUUAGUUCGUAUCUAUACAUUAUCUAAGAACAGAUCCUUUGCUAGACAUACAGCUCUCAAAGAGCCCUUAAAGCUGAAACAGCAAUUGUAAUCUUACCACCACAAACCCAUUUGUGUUAUCAAUUUAUUUAUGAAACAAUGAGCAAAUGCGUUGUUACGUUUUGCUAAUGGGAGAACACAGAAAUAAAAGCUAAGAGACUUA